UGCGACUGGAUAGGACACUAAACAGGGCUGAGAUUAGAGGUUUGUGUAAUGAAAAUUUGUUAGACCUGAGUCAUACCCUUUCCAUUGUGGCAUCAAACCUAAAAAUUAUAUUUCAUGCAUGACGCAGGCGAGCCCAUAGCAGCGCCGGCAGCCCCAGGAAGACUGAGGAUAUAUAAUGAUGUUGUAGGCGCGCGUGUUACAGGUAAGAUGCUGAGUGAAAGGGAAGUUGUAACAAAGUGAAUCUACGUAGUUGCCCAGAGAAGAAAAAGAUGCAGCAUGUACUGCUUGAUCGCUAACGGAUACACCCUCUGCAGGACCAAGGAGCCUUGGCCGACUUAGGAGGAGGCUCGAGCUAAGAGUGAGCGAUGACGGUGAAGCUGGCAGUAGCAACCCUUUUGCGAGGCUUCAUAAUACAGAGAGGUCAACUUGGCUACGGAGAAGAGGGGAGCAUUUGUGAGCGAAACUGUCUGAAAUUGAGGCGCAAGGAAGUCUGAUCUUGAAUGUGAGUCUCGUGAAUAAUGUGACAAACCUGAUUUUGUUUGCGAGAAAAUAUGUCUUGAUUAUGGAUAUCUCACUUUGCAUGCAACUUAUUUUUCAGACGCGAGGGAACAUGGGGUCUUGCGGAACAGGAAUGUGCAUGGAAACGAUGUUGGAGAGGACACGUCAAAUAGCUCAAUUUCAGAGGAAUGGAGGGAAUGUGUGCGGAGCUUAUCUACGGUUGCGCUAGCUGCGGUAGAACAAGCAAUGGAAAAACCAGAACUUUUUGAAGGUGCCCGUGUUCGACAUGUCGAUGCUAGCUGCAACUUUGUUAGACAAAAUAGAAGGUAGUUGAGGGAGUCCUGGAUUAGGCGGUGUUCGGAUAGCCGAACUAUAUCUUCAGUCGGACUCCUGGACUAUGAAGAUACAAGAUUGAAGACUCCGUCCCGUGUCCGGAAGGGAUUUUCUUUGGCGUGGAAGGUAAGCUUGGCGAUACGGAUGUUCAGAUCUCCUACCAUUGUAACCGACUCUAUGUAACCCUAACUCUCUCCGGUGUCUAUAUAAACCGAGGGGUUUUAGUCCGUAGGACAACAUACACAUCAACAAUCAUACCAUAGGCUAGGUUCUAGGGUUUAGCCUCUCUGAUCUCGUGGUAUAUCUACUCUUGUACUACCCAUAUCAUCAAUAUUAAUCAAGCAGGACGUAGGGUUUUACCUCCAUUGAGAGGGCCCGAACCUGGGUAAAACUUCG
rnacentral:lncRNA from 1 species